CGGGGCGUGGCUCAGUUUGGCUAGAGCGCCUGCUUUGGGAGCAGGAGGUCACAGGUUCAAGUCCUGUCGCCCCGA
rnacentral:tRNA from 1 species